rnacentral:rRNA from 1 species
GAGUUGAUCCUGGCUCAGAACGAACGCUGGCGGCGUGCCUAACACAUGCAAGUCGAACGUGAUCCAGAGCUUGCUCUGGUGAAAGUGGCGCACGGGUGAGUAACGCGUGGAUAACCUACCCUGGUAUCCGGGAUAACAUUCCGAAAGGGGUGCUAAUACCGGAUAAGCCCACGGGCUCUUUGGAGCUUGCGGGAAAAGGUGGCCUCUAUUUAUAAGCUACUGUAUCAGGAUGGGUCCGCGUACCAUUAGCUAGUUGGCGGUGUAACGGWCCACCAAGGCGACGAUGGUUAGCUGGUYUGAGAGGAUGAUCAGCCACACUGGAACUGAGACACGGUCCAGACUCCUACGGGAGGCAGCAGUGGGGAAUUUUGCGCAAUGGGGGAAACCCUGACGCAGCAACGCCGCGUGAGUGAUGAAGGCCUUUGGGUCGUAAAGCUCUGUCAGAGGGGAAGAAAUGAUAUAGUGCUAAUACCACUUUAUCUUGACGGUACCCUCAAAGGAAGCACCGGCUAACUCCGUGCCAGCAGCCGCGGUAAUAC